GACGAACCGUGCGAACGUUAUUCGGAAUCACUGGGCUUAAAGCGCGUGUAGGCGGGCCGCCACGUCGGCUGCUGAAAUCCCCCGGCUCAACCGGGGAACGGGCACCGAUACGGAGCGGGCCUCGAGGGGGGUAGGGGGGUCUGGAACUUCCGGUGGAGCGGUGAAAUGCGUUGAGAUCGGAAGGAACGCCCGUGGCGAAAGCGAGGCCCUGGACCCUUACUGACGCUGAGACGCGAAAGCCAGGGGAGCGAACGGG
rnacentral:rRNA from 1 species